UUUUUUUUUUUUUUUUUUUGAGACGGAGUCUUACUCUGUCACCUGGGCUGGAGUGCAGUGGCACGAUCUUGCCUCACUGCAACCUCCGCCUCCCAGGUUCAAGUGAUUCUCCUGCCUCAGCCUCCCGAGUAGCUGGGAUUAAAGGGGCCCACCAUUACGCCCAGUGAAUUUUUUGCAUUUUUAGUAGAGAUGGGGUUCCACCAUGUUGUUCAGGCUGGUCUCGAACCCCUAACCUUGUGGUUCACCCACCUCGGCCUUUGCCAAAGUGCUGGAAUUACAAGUGUGAGCCACCAUGCCUGGCCUAAAUCACAUCUUUUAACAAAAGAUUCCCUCCAAGCAUACGGUCAUGGUCUUUUAAAAUAUGUAUACAAAUACGUACACCAAUAAAAGGAACUACAGACCUCUCCUGCACAACUUCCAUAAUACAUUCUUGAGAAACAGACAUUCUUUGAGAAAACAGUAACUGAAAGUCAAUUUCCAUUAUUUGUAGUGGAAAAAGUUAAAAUGUGCUAUAUACUAACCCCAAACCACCAACUAAAUUAUUAAAACACAGUAAGACUCCUCUAUAUAAAUAACAAACUAGUAAAUUAGAAUAUAAACUGCUUAAAACAUCAAUUUUUAAUUAUCGAAGAGUUAAUAUUGCAGUUAACACAUGCAGUUGCUUUGUGUGGAGUACCACGGCCUUAACAUCAGCAGCCUUUGACAUGCCAUUCUGAUACCAAUGAUAUUUGGAACAUAACAUGAGCUUUUUCCCAUAGACUAAUGAGUUUGGGGGAACAAUUUUUUUUUUUUUCCUUUACAAACAUCGGCUAAAUAACGUUGUUCUGAGGAGAUAUGUGUGUCUGGUGAUUGAAAACCAGAGGUCUUUUAGGAAAAAUGAUCACCAGGGAGACCUCUACCAGAGAGUGCCUAUGUGGCCAUUGUCACUCGUAAUGCAAUCAUCUACCCCAAUUGUUUUCUCUCUUCCUGGAGAGCAGCAAGCCCAAAAUGAAUGACCCCACGAUUGCAGCAGCACCCAGCCACUGCCAUCGGUCUUUGUUUCCCGGAGUAGUAGUAACAAACUGCUACAAACUUGGUGGCUGAAAACAACAGAACUUUAUUCUCUUACAGUUCUGGAAACCAGAAGUCCUAAAUCAAGG
rnacentral:lncRNA from 1 species